AGAGACAGAGCCACACUCCCUAACACGAGUGGACGUGUGGACAGACACAAGCAAGAUCUUUAGAAUAGAGCUACUAUAUAUCUCAACAGUGAUAAUGAAAUAUGUUAUAUGUCUAGCACCUCAACAGUAUUGUAGUUCCAGCUUUGUACAAGAUGCUUUCCUCAUCGUGAUAUAUUGAGACAUUCUCUUAUGCUGCAUUUGACAACAAUAUUACUUAUUUUCAUAAUACAUGCACGCUCUUAGACCAUAACUAGUAAACGUAAUAUGUCUGCCAAAAAGGUUGAAGAGGGUGGGGAUUCAUUGAUUGGCCAACAAUGCAACCCUUGAACAUCUAAUCAAUCAAAAAAUGGAAAUACUCAAAGUUUGUUUCCAUCAGAGAGCAUAGUUUCUGAACAAUCUUUUUCAAAAUAUUGGAGUUGGCACUAAUAAUUGAUUCCAUAGAGACCAUCCAAACUUAGCCUUAUUUGACACCCAUGAGAAAAAAACACUUGAUUGGGAAAAAAUGACGGCAAAUAUCAAAAGUUGUAGCAGAGAAGAGAUGGAAGCACCAGCCCGCAUCACCAAUGAACGGAGGGCCCAUGGAACAUUACCUCCCUGAUGCUAAUAUGCUUGCUCCCUGCUACAUUGAAAUGGUCUUGGACAUCCAUGCUCCAUUUCAUUUUUCCUCAGAAACCUUUUAAAACUUCAAAUCUCUGAAGUCUGGUUGAUAAACAAUUGUUUUUGUGUGGGAAAAACUCAACACCUAAUUUAGUUGGUGAUACGGUGGAAAAUAACGAGAAAGAUUUGGAUUUCCAUAUAUUUUAAUAUUUAUGGAACUUUAAUUUGUUUGAUGCAUUUUUAUUUAUUCGUUAGGAAAAUUUAGUAACUAAAUUUAUAUUUAGCCAGUUUAUGUUUUGGACUUUAGAUUUCUAAUAUUAUUUAGUUUAGAAUUUAAUUAUUUUUCUUUUCAAAUUAGUCGUAGGAAAGUAGUUUAGUAUUAGAAAUACGUUUUCUAGGGUUUAUUUACAUGGAACCGAUUAAGUUUAUUAUCUUUCUUCUCUUUGUGAGUUCAUUAUUCCUUAUGAACUCAAGAGUUUAUCUUACAUUCUUGUUGAUACGUUAAACCUUCAAAUCACGUUUGUGUUAAAGUGUUCCGCUGCGUCAGUUGGCUAGGUAGAUAGUGCCAUUGUGGGACGUCAAGAACAAACACACAAGAUAUGAACAAACUUAAUGAGUUUAUGUUCAACAAAAGAGAAGAGCUUAUAUAAUAC
rnacentral:lncRNA from 1 species